rnacentral:lncRNA from 1 species
GCAGCCUUUGGUGGGGUCGGUGGUGACAUGUGGCGGCUCGGCGGUGAAUGAUAUGGAGAGCGCUCUUGAGGAGGUGGAGGUGUUCGCUGACGUGGAAGGGAAGUUCGCUGACGUGGAGGUGUUCGCUGACGUGGAGGUGAAGGAGGUGUUUGCUGACGUGGAGGUGAAGGAGGUGUUUGCUGACGUGGAGGGGGAGGACGCUGACGUGGAGGAGAAGGAGGUUGUUGCUGACGUGGAGGUGACGGUUGUCUUGCCGGCGUUCUGACUACGACCGGACGGCGAGUGGUUUGUCGGGGUUGAGGAGGUGGAGGUGGGUCGCUUGAGGCUUGUG